UACAGAGGGGGCCAGCGUUAUUCGGAAUUAUUGGGCGUAAAGAGCUCGUAGGCGGUCUGUUGCGUCCGCUGUGAAAACUCGGGGCUUAACCCCGAGCCUGCAGUGGAUACGGGCAGACUAGAGGUAGGUAGGGGAGAAUGGAAUUCCCGGUGUAGCGGUGAAAUGCGCAGAUAUCGGGAGGAACACCGGUGGCGAAGGCGGGUCUCUGGACAGUUCCUGACGCUGAGGCACGAAGGCUAGGGGAGCAAACGGG
rnacentral:rRNA from 1 species